GUUCAUCUUCUGGUCAGUCUUCUUCUGGUUUACCUUUUACAGCUGAGCAAAUUGCUAAACUGUUAAGUUUAGUUGGUGAAAAGUCUAAUGUGGAUUCACCAGGUGUAGGAGGAUUUCAAGUCAAAGAAAAUCCUGGUGACUGGUAGUCAGGAUAGUGGUCUAUAUCUAGUUGGUAAACAUGGUUACCCUCCUCUGUGUUAAAUGGUAGAAGUCCUUAUGAAGUUGUAUAUGGUUUUAAACCCUCUUUAGUUCAUCUAAGGAACUUUGGGUGUCUAUGU